CAUGCAGUCUUUUUCUCCUCCUUUCUCACUGCUCCUCCUUCUGGCUGUCACACACCCACAGUCUUUUUCAGAAGAUACAACAGGAGACUUGUCUCUCUGAUUUUCUUUUUCUUAAAUCUAUUUUUUUAAUGUCCACCUUUUCUGACACUCAUCUUGCGACGUUUAGGUAGAUUUGGUCUGGAUUUGUUUGAACUGAUUUGACCACCUGGCAGACGGACAGAAAUGAAGAAGACUAAACUUAAGUUGAAGUUCUGGUAGUAAGAUAGUAAAUGAAGAUGGAUCUGGUGAUUGCCUUUCUUCUGCUCUUUUGUGUUCAUCCAUCUGCAGGAGCAAGCCUCAUCACAGCAGACAUAUUUGAAGCGAGGGAAUUUUUGCCUGCCCUUGUUAUUUCCUUCUACCCUUUUUCCACUUCGCAUUUUUCUACUUCAUAUUAUUUUUUUCCACUUCGUCCAUCUGACCGCAGCCGUUAAUGUUAAAACAAUGACAGGGAGGGAGGGAGGCGGCUUCACCGGCAAAGCUUCACAACUACUGGCCAAGGCCUGGCUCCCCGGAAACAAGCCUGCAUCAGAGCAGACGACUGGCCGCUUUCCCAGAAUGCACCACGGCCGCAGCUUGAUUCUGGAUAGCGCAAACAGAGCUCACAGUGUCCCCGUCACUAAGCCUUACCUUUAGCUGAGCGAUGUGUCUCCGGUGGAAGGGUCCACAAUGUGGGUGCGAUGCAACCUGGAAAACGGGAAGGGGCCAAUACAUUGGUCCGGACAUUCUCCGGAUAAACGUCACCCCAUACACUGUGACAGAGCGGGGGUACUCAGCUCUGGAGAGAAAGACGGUCUCAUUGAUGUGUCAAGCCUAGUCCAAUUCAGUCAGUCAGUACGUUUGGUUCUACAACAACUUCUAGGUGUACAGCGGGCCGCAGUUCACCAUCACCAAGAUCCUUUGCAUGCACACGGGAGACUACGCCUGAUUGGCCCAAAAUACAUACCUGAACACCCAGUCCAAAAAAACAUCAGUUUUACUGUCUACUGUGUUAGGGAUUAUGAGAUUUACAGAGACUGGACUGCAAAAUCGGUGUUAUGGAAAGAUAUAAUCAGUUGUUGUAUUAAUCAGGCAUUUUUAUAAAAGCAAUAAGAGUACCUAUGUUUUAAUUACCAACAUGUGGCUUGGAGUUUACAGAAGGUGGGGGUUUUGCAGACUCACUCAAAAAGCAAUCAAUUCAUUCAAGCUCUUGUAGAGACCAGGCACGAAGAGACAUCGGAGUUUUAUGGGGGACCUUUCAAAAUGGCUUCAAAACAGGUUGGAAAGCCUUUUUAUGGUUCUUAAUGUUUAUCUUGGUUAACUCCUAAAAAUCCACCUGGGCUAUUAAUUAAAAGUUAGUCCCUGAAGUUGACGUGGGAGAACGCACUUGCUUUGCCUGUGAGUGGAUAAGCCCCUGGAGACCCCUCCCUGAACACUCCGGGACAGGCUGCUCAUGUCAUGAUUUGGGUUUUGUUAUGGCUUAUGUUUGUUAUUUGAUUAAUUAGUUCUCUCUCCUGUCUUAGUAUU